AGUCGAGGGGUAUAUGUCUUCGGACAUAGAGACCGGCGCACGGGUGCGUAACGCGUAUGCAAUCUACCUUUUACAGGGGAAUAGCCCAGAGAAAUUUGGAUUAAUGCCCCAUAGUAUAUUUGAAUGGCAUCAUUUGAUUAUUAAAGUUCCAACGGUAAAAGAUGAGCAUGCGUCCCAUUAGUUAGUUGGUAAGGUAACGGCUUACCAAGACGAUGAUGGGUAGGGGUCCUGAGAGGGAGAUCCCCCACACUGGUACUGAGACACGGACCAGACUCCUACGGGAGGCAGCAGUGAGGAAUAUUGGUCAAUGGGCGCAAGCCUGAACCAGCCAUGCCGCGUGCAGGAUGACGGUCCUAUGGAUUGUAAACUGCUUUUAUACAGGAAGAAACACUCCCUCGUGAGGGAGCUUGACGGUACUGUAGGAAUAAGGAUCGGCUAACUCCGUGCCAGCAGCCGCGGUAAUACGGAGGAUCCAAGCGUUAUCCGGAAUCAUUGGGUUUAAAGGGUCCGUAGGCGGCCCAGUAAGUCAGUGGUGAAAUCUCCCGGCUCAACCGGGAAAUUGCCAUUGAUACUGCUGGGCUUGAAUUAUCAGGAAGUAACUAGAAUAUGUAGUGUAGCGGUGAAAUGCUUAGAGAUUACAUGGAAUACCAAUUGCGAAGGCAGGUUACUACUGGUGGAUUGACGCUGAUGGACGAAAGCGUGGGUAGCGAACAGGAUUAGAUACCCUGGUAGUCCACGCCGUAAACGAUGGAUACUAGCUGUUGGGUUGCA
rnacentral:rRNA from 1 species